GACGGAGGGGGCUAGCGUUGUUCGGAAUCACUGGGCGUAAAGGGCGCGUAGGCGGCCAUUCAAGUCAGGGGUGAAAGCCUGUGGCUCAACCACAGAAUUGCCUUUGAUACUGUUUGGCUAGAGACCGGAAGAGGUAAGUGGAACUGCGAGUGUAGAGGUGAAAUUCGUAGAUAUUCGCAAGAACACCAGUGGCGAAGGCGGCUUACUGGUCCGGUUCUGACGCUGAGGCGCGAAAGCGUGGGGAGCAACAGGG
rnacentral:rRNA from 1 species